ensembl:lncRNA
AAAAAAAUAUAUUUUAAAAUCUCAUGAGUACUUUUAAGUAAAUAUAUUAGGUGAAAGAGGAUCAGAUGACAAAAAAAGUUUGUAAAUUUGUGCAUUUUAAUGUGUUUAAAAGACUAAAGUCAUCCAAAGACAUAGAAAUACAUGGUUAAACAACCUACAGAGGAAUGAUUCAAAUAAAAAUCAAUGUGUUGAUGCUGAUCCUAUGUUCUUAAACAUGAAAUUAUUUUUGUAAAUCCAGUGGUUAAACGCUGCCACCUGACUAAUGACGGAUCUCUGUGUGAAUGUCCAGAAAACCUGAAGACUUUCUGAAUGUAUAUAAGCAGCCUGCUAUUUUAGAAAGGAAAAUUUAAAAGAUUAAAAAGAGGAAUUAGGAAAUUAAAUUCGGAAUAAUCUAUUGCUAUUUUGUAAAUAAUAUUUAAUCAUGUAAUCCAUAAAAAAGUAACUGUAGUCUGAUUAUGAGUUUUAUAAAAUUUUAUUUAAUCUAAUUACAAGUUCUUUAUUUACUAGAAUCUGUUUACGCAAUCCAGAUUACAUAUAGUCAGUUACUACUGAGCUCAGAACAGGGAUUAGUUUAAGUCAGGACUAUAGGUCCUAGUUUUGCUUUUAUAAAAAUGCUGCAUGUGUGCAUCUUGAGAUGAAACAAUGGCACUGACAUAUUGUAAGGAAUGUCAUUUCAAGUUAUUUUCAGUUAAGACAGCUCACACAUGCGUUUUAGUCUGGGACUAGCCUUAAACCUCGUCUGUGAAACCGGGUAUAUAAUAGACAUUAUUUACUUCACUACAACUGUUAAACCUUCAAAUGUCAAUGAUUUUUACCAUCUUUUGCAUCAUUUCUUUUUCUGAUAAUUGUCUUUCCAGUUUGUCUAGUUCCUCCAUGGUUGUGAGAGGAAAGACAUCAUCCUCGCUGUCCACCAGCAGCACUGGAGCACUGGAACGACUGUUAGCUGCAAGAGACUGGACCACUGAAGACAGAUGAUUGAUCUUCAGGUCCAGUUCGUUAAGUGCCUCCAGAAUUGUCCUCUCAACAGCUGCAACACAGUAGGUUUAUCUGGAAGAGUAUUUUAAUUAAACUAUAAAGUGUAUAAUUUUACAAAUUUAGCACUCCAAUUUAACGUACGUGUACAUUGAUUAGUGAUGCAGCUCCAUCGUCUCACACCAGAAGCACCUGCAAGCACAAAAAGCAUUUAAAUGUGAUAAAACUAACACGUCAUAAAAAUUGUGUUGCUAAAGAUAUGGCUACAUGCUUAAAACCUUAGGCUGAUGAUACACAGGGCAAAUUUUUGGGCAACGUUGCUGUCAACAGGCAAAAAAAAUACAAAUGACUUACUAUUUGUUCUUGCCUGGUAGGUACUUGAGGGUCUCUGUUCAGAGAUUGUGUUCUCUGAUGGAUUGUACAGAAAAUCUAAUGUUACCUAGUGUUAUUAAUUUGCAGUGUAUGUGUUUCCUGCGUGUUUAUGAAUGUUCUUUUACCUUGAAAGUUAGAUGGGUGUUCACCCCAAGCAUCCUCUUGCUCAUUUUCAUUGGACAAGCUCACAGGAACAGCUGGAGUUAAGAAAGGUGAAGUUGUGAUAGAUGGGUGUUCUUCCCAAGUUUCCAGCUGGCGG